GAUGAACGCUGGCGGUCUGCUUAACACAUGCAAGUCGAACGAACUCUUCGGAGUGAGUGGCGGACGGGUGAGUAACGCGUGAGAAUCUGCCUGUGGGUCGGGGACAACCACUGGAAACGGUGGCUAAUACCGGAUGAGCCGAAAAGGUAAAAGAUUUAUUGCCCACAGAUGAGCUCGCGUCUGAUUAGCUAGUUGGUAAGGUAAAAGCGUACCAAGGCGACGAUCAGUAGCUGGUCUGAGAGGAUGAGCAGCCACACUGGGACUGAGACACGGCCCAGACUCCUACGGGAGGCAGCAGUGGGAAUUUUCCGCAAUGGGCGAAAGCCUGACGGAGCAAGACCGCGUGGGGGAGGAAGGUUUUUGGAUCGUAAAGCUCUGUCAAUAGGGAAGAAAUUGAGUCAUCACUAAUAGGGUGGCGCAUUGACGGUACCUAUAAAAGGAAGCACCGGCUAACUCCGUGCCAGCCGCCGCGGUAAUU
rnacentral:rRNA from 1 species